rnacentral:rRNA from 1 species
ACUGGUGUCUUGAGCGAGCUGGUCCCACUCCUUCCCAUUCCGAACAGGAUAGUGAAACGGUUUAGCGGUGACAAUAGUUUCUGGGCAACUGGGUGCGAAGAUAGCUCGAUGCCAGUA